AUUUUUGGUGCGACAUUGGUUCCGUCCGUCGGUCCGCUCUGCCCACCCGCGCGAUCCCUCUCCGCGCCUCACGCUCUCCCGUGCGAUCCCUAUCCGCGUCGUCAAUCACGCAUGGUGCUCCAUCCUUCCUGCGAUCCUUCCUUCCCAGCGCUCUUUCCUCUCCGCGCCGUCAAUCACGCACCAGAGCUCCUUCCACCGCGCGACCCUUCCUUUGAGUAAAAGAUGGAAGGCUCCCAAUCCCAAAUCUCCGUUGCAAAUCCCAUCGGGUGCUGCUCUCGCCAUCUCCCACCAGCCACACUCUUCCUCAUGCGUGGCACACUUGGCCGUCCUCCGCCAUCGCCAUCGCCCCCCACCCUCACCCUCGCCCUCGCCCUGGAGCUGACGAUGCGCACGCUGUUGGUGAGGCUCGGAGAGGACGACAGCCGUUAGGGGCUGCUCCGGACGCCCAAGGCCCAAGCGCGUGGCGAAGCCACCAAGGCCUUCUGUGACUGCACCCAAGGCAUGGUGGAUGCACGGCUUCCCCUUCCAUUUUCACGCUCCCCUGAUUUCUUGGAUCCAUCGGUAACAACUGAUCCCUGCUUUGUGUGAAAAAUAGUGUUCUCCCGGAUUCGUGAUUGCCCUGUAGAUGGACGAACCCUACUCCCCUUCGGCAAGUACGCCCGAGGAGAGGACGGAGAUUGAAGACGACUUGGCUACGGGCUAUGGCCGCACGGGCCUGCGUAUGCGGCCGGUCGGCAGCACCAGUCGUGGGCUCGUGGCUGCACGGUUUGAAGGUGGGCAUGGAUGGCACGCCCUACCUCAGAAAGGUGUUCAUCAAGAUGAAUUCUAGCACGAGUACCUCUCCAUAGCGCUCGAGAAGUAGCCGCUUCAUCACUGGAGUUUAUUGAUUGGAUCUGUUGCCAAAAGUGCUUUGUGAUGUACUACAAUACUAGAUGCUCCAGAGUUCAGUUUCACAGUGUAAAUUCUACUAUGAUUUCAAGGAACGUGCUUAGCUUCAGCUCAAAUGGAGGGUUACUGGGUUCAGAAGAUGGUUACUUGGGCUCUGAAGGCGAAGAUUACUGCAAGGAGAACAAACACUGUGAUCGUAGAAAUCUGAUCGAGUUAUUCAUGAAGACAGGUCAUAAGCACUUCCAAAGCUGACUUUUUGGUUUUUGUCGAGCACUGUUCUCUAUCACCGAAAAAAACUGAACUGUAGGUGGUAUUCUUUCCUAUCUAGCAUUAUCAUGAUAAUCUCAAUAUGACAGGGGAAGUGGUUACAUUAGCAUGUAUUCUUGUUCAAGCUGAACUGUGCUCAUACAUACAACGUGCUCUCAUGGAUGGCAAGAGGUGAUCCAGAUGGAGAACAAGCUAAGGAACCUUGAAAUUGAAUACAACUGUGCAAGUAUGUUUUUCUUUUUAGUCAAUUUUGGAUGUUAUGUUGCUUCCUGGUUUGCUGUUUCCCUCCGUUCCUCACUACUGCUAUUGUAGCUAUUGUCUUUUAGGCAAAUUAGGGGGGUGAGGGAGAGGAUCCCCACCUGGAAUUAAUAUAAUUAAAGUUCAGACAACGAGACCGGAGAUGCAGAGGACGUAGGGAUACAAGAGCAGAGUGUUUACAACCAUCUAUAUACAAAAGCCAGCCAUCUAGAUAAUAGCAGAGUCUUGGUUAUUUUUUUAAUAAAUUUUACUAGGGAAUUGAUUUCACAGUUUCUUUUCAAAAAAUAUUUUUGAUCCAGAGCAUUUGUGUUUCCUUUUGAGAUUUUGCUACAAGCACAUUGAUUGUUGUUGUGAAAAGUAGCUGAGUUUGGUCUCUGCGUUGCAAAUUGCUACUAUAUGCUGAGCUUGUGGGUAGUGAAGAGCAGCUGAGGUCGUGAUAGCCUGGGCAAUGACUAACCGUUCAUGUUGUGUCGAUAUUAGCGGGCCAGGAAAACUUGUAUUUGGAAAGUUUAAUCUCAUUUCUUUUUUACUUAAUGUAUGAAUUCUUGAAAUGAAUUAUUAUGAAAAAUAUUUUGUGCCACGAAUCAUUGUGUUCUUCGUCAACUACAUUAGCAACACUUGAUUGUGAACCGUAACAGUUUUUCUUUAAGCUCGUCACAAUUUUGGUGCAUGCAAAGUAAUUCCAGUUUGUUUGCAUCCUGAUCUUGUCCCCUGCAUUACAAAUUUUAAGGUUAAUUUAAUUAAUCUAAUCUAACAUUGUAGUUGUUGGUGUAUUUAAAGUGUUUGGCAGCGCUGCACGAAAGCUGAGGCUAGGAGCGGUGCCAAAGGGACCCUCCAUACUUGAUCAAAGUUAGAUAAGUCUAGUUUAGGAUAGAGCCAAAAUAACCUAUAGAAGGGAGUACUGGUUAAACAAAUUGUUUAUCUCCAAUAUGUAUUCUCUCAAGAUCAGUUGUAUGUUGCGAUGUCUAGAGCCACAUUAAGUACGAAUCUUAAGAUCCUUGCCCUCUCGCUUGAUGCAUAAGCACAUGAUGAGGCUAAAAAGAUGAUGAAGAAAAACGCUAAAAAGAAUGCCAAGGGAAAAAAAGACUGUGUCUAAUAAAAAAAAGUUAAGUGUAAGAAGACCCCAUAUAACACCCAAAAUUUGGCUCUUUUAAAAAUAGAUGAAUUUGGCUAUAUUAAAUAAUUUUGUGAGCAUUUUUCAAUAUAGGAAAAAUAAAUAAAUUUAGAGAAAAUAAAAUUAAAUAUAAGUUAGGCUAAUAUUUUGUUGCAUACAUGCUGGUGCAUUUCUUUAUGGGAUGAGUGGUUUUGAUGAAAAGAAUUUUGAAUUCAAAAAUUCAUUUGGAAAAGUGUUUGGAAAAUUUGUUUGGAAAAUAAAAAGAGAAAAGCUUUUCUCUCUGGCGGCUGACGGGUGGGGCCCACCCGUCAGGACCACCUCCUUCCUCCAACCGUCGCUCCCGAAUCCUCUCUCUCAGCAGCAACCGCCCAGGCCGAAGCCCCCGCUCCCACGUUCUCCAGCUCCCCCCGCGUCUCGGCUUCAAGUGGAGGGAGUCCGCGCGCCCGAGUUUUCCUAUAACAACAGCUAGCAGAAGAGUCUCAAGAUGGCACCAUUUGAAGCUUUGUAUGGUCGCAAGUGUAGGACACCUUUAUUCUGGAAUCAAACUGGUGAGACACAGGUGUUUGGACCAGACGUCCUAAGAAGUGCUGAAGAACAAGUGAGGAUGAUUAGGGACAAUCUAAGAGUGGCACAGUCAAGGCAGAAAAGUUAUGCCGACACCCGAAGAAGGGACUUAAGCUUCAAAGAGGGUGAUUUUGUAUAUCUGAAGGUAUCUCCAAUGAGGAGUGUGAAGAGAUUCAAUGUGAAGGGUAAGCUAGCACCGAGAUACGUCGGACCUUUCAGGAUUCUUGCAAGACGUGGAGAAGUAGCCUAUCAGUUAGAACUUCCUGAGAGCUUGUUAGGUGUACAUGAUGUAUUCCAUGUUUCUCAGUUGAAGAAGUGUUUGCGGGUACCCGAAGAGCAGAUUCCUAUAGAAGAAUUGACCGUUAAAGAAGAUCUCACAUAUAAAGAGUACCCGAUAAAGAUUUUGGAAACUGCAGACAGAGUUACAAGAAGCAGAACUAUAAAGAUGUGUAAGGUGCAAUGGAAUCGUUAUACCGAAGAUGAAGCCACCUGGGAAAGAGAAGAGGACUUGAGAAAGUCGUAUCCACAUCUGUUUGAGUAAGCAUCACUCAAUCUCGAGAACGAGAUUAUUUUUAAGGAGGGUAGAAUUGUAACACCCAAAAUUUGGCUCUUUUAAAAAUAGAUGAAUUUGGCUAUAUUAAAUAAUUUUGUGAGCAUUUUUCAAUAUAGGAAAAAUAAAUAAAUUUAGAGAAAAUAAAAUUAAAUAUAAGUUAGGCUAAUAUUUUGUUGCAUACAUGCUGGUGCAUUUCUUUAUGGGAUGAGUGGUUUUGAUGAAAAGAAUUUUGAAUUCAAAAAUUCAUUUGGAAAAGUGUUUGGAAAAUUUGUUUAGAAAAUAAAAAGGGAAAAGCUUUUCUCUCUGGCGGCUGACGGGUGGGGCCCACCCGUCAGGACCACCUCCUUCCUCCAACCGUCGCUCCCGAAUCCUCUCUCUCAGCAGCAACCGCCCAGGCCGAAGCCCCCGCUCCCACGUUCUCCAGCUCCCCCCGCGUCUCGGCUUCAAGUGGAGGGAGUCCGCGCGCCCGAGUCUUCCUCUCCCCAUUUUUCCCCCUCCUCGCUUCUGCUCGCAUCCGUGAAAACGCAGAGAAAACCGUCGCCGGGAAGUUCUUCGUCGACCGCGCGUAGGCCGCCGUUCCGAGCCGUUUUCGCUCCGAAUUAGCGCCGUGACGGUGAGGAGUAUUUCGGGAGUCCGGAGCUCUUUGGGGA